rnacentral:lncRNA from 10 species
CUGGCAGGAGAUAAAGUGCAACUCUGCUGUGUAGAAGAGUAAUUGACUUGUAUUUUCUGGUAUUUUCUCUAUACAGAAAUUAGUUCAAACUAUUUCCAAGAUGUUCAAAAAUUGGAUGUGGCUGCAUGAAACAGGUUAAAAAGUUUGAUAUGGUAGGGACUGACUAUGGAAUGGCAAUGUGAGGAGUGUGGCAGACAGACCCUCUCCCCAGGGUUCUAUGAUCACACUCUGACUGAUACAAGAUGAAACAAUCUACAAAGGAAGUAAAGGAAUGCCGAAUACAAUAUCCCUACCUCCUUCACGGUUUUACUUACUACAGUACUGUGGUCAACUGCAAUUCGAAUAUAUUACACAGAAAAUUCCAGAAAUAAACUAUUCAUAAUGUUUAAAUUGCAUGCUGUUCUCAGUAAUGUGAUGAAAUCUGCUGUCCUACUCUGUCCUUCCUGGGAUGUGAAUUCUUCAUUUGUCCAGCGGGUCCACGCUGUCUAUGCUCCCCACCUGCCAGUCACUCAGGACUCAUCUUGGUUAUUGGAUAGACUGUCAUGGUACAGCAGUGUUUGUGUUCCAGUAACCCUUAUUUUACUUAGUAAUGGC